UGGGGAAUAUUGCACAAUGGGCGCAAGCCUGAUGCAGCCAUGCCGCGUGUGUGAAGAAGGCCCUCGGGUUGUAAAGCACUUUCAGCGGGGAGGAAGGCGAUAAGGUUAAUAACCUUGUCGAUUGACGUUACCCGCAGAAGAAGCACCGGCUAACUCCGUGCCAGCAGCCGCGGUAAUACGGAGGGUGCAAGCGUUAAUCGGAAUUACUGGGCGUAAAGCGCACGCAGGCGGUCUGUCAAGUCGGAUGUGAAAUCCCCGGGCUCAACCUGGGAACUGCAUUCGAAACUGGCAGGCUAGAGUCUUGUAGAGGGGGGUAGAAUUCCAGGUGUAGCGGUGAAAUGCGUAGAGAUCUGGGGGAAUACCGGUGGCGAAGGCGGCCCCCUGGACAAAGACUGACGCUCAGGUGCGAAAGCGUGGGGAGCAAACAGG
rnacentral:rRNA from 1 species